UACGUAGGGUGCAAGCGUUAAUCGGAAUUACUGGGCGUAAAGCGUGCGCAGGCGGCUUUGCAAGACAGAUGUGAAAUCCCCGGGCUCAACCUGGGAACUGCAUUUGUGACUGCAUGGCUCGAGUGCGGCAGAGGGGGAUGGAAUUCCGCGUGUAGCAGUGAAAUGCGUAGAGAUGUGGAGGAAUACCGAUGGCGAAGGCAGCCCCCUGGGACAACACUGACGCUCAGGCACGAAAGCGUGGGGAGCAAACAGG
rnacentral:rRNA from 1 species